rnacentral:ncRNA from 1 species
CUUAUUAAGAGUGGUGGAGGGAUCGGCCCUAUGAAGCCCGGCAACCUGCAAAUGCAAGGUGCCAAAUCCGGCGGUGCAAAUCGAAAGAUGAGG